CCCUGAGGUGAGCUGCUGCCAUGACCACACGCUCUUAUUAUAAAGUGCUGCCUUGCCACAGGUCCAAAAGCCAUGGAGCCAACUGGUCAUGAACGGAAAUCUUCAAAACUGUGAGACAGAGUACACGUUUCCUCUGUCUAAGUUGAUUAUCUAAGUUCGGGUGAUUGUGCCUUUGUGCCUGCCAGGCGAACACUCAGCCCCUGAGCUACAUCCUAGCAUACUCCAGCUGUUGAACGCUGAUCUUUCCCCAGGCUUUAGCUAAGUGGUACAGUCUCUGUGAUGCUGUGGGUGGCAGUGAAUCCUAGCUCCCAGUCAGUGACUGUGAUAAAGAAGGUGAACAACUGACUCUAUGGUGUGCUUUGCUGGUAAACUAUGCUGUUCAGCAGGUUGGGUGAAUUAAACAUUUUGCUUGCUUGCUUUUUGA
rnacentral:lncRNA from 1 species